rnacentral:rRNA from 1 species
CCUACGGGAGGCAGUAGUGGGGAAUAUUGCACAAUGGGCGAAAGCCUGAUGCAGCGACGCCGCGUGAGGGAUGACGGCCUUCGGGUUGUAAACCUCUUUCAGCAGGGAAGAAGCGAAAGUGACGGUACCUGCAGAAGAAGCGCCGGCUAACUACGUGCCAGCAGCCGCGGUAAUACGUAGGGCGCAAGCGUUGUCCGGAAUUAUUGGGCGUAAAGAGCUCGUAGGCGGCUUGUCACGUCGGGUGUGAAAGCCCGGGGCUUAACCCCGGGUCUGCAUUCGAUACGGGCUAGCUAGAGUGUGGUAGGGGAGAUCGGAAUUCCUGGUGUAGCGGUGAAAUGCGCAGAUAUCAGGAGGAACACCGGUGGCGAAGGCGGAUCUCUGGGCCAUUACUGACGCUGAGGAGCGAAAGCGUGGGGAGCGAACAGGAUUAGAUACCCUGGUAGUCCACGCCGUAAACGGUGGGAACUAGGUGUUGGCGACAUUCCACGUCGUCGGUGCCGCAGCUAACGCAUUAAGUUCCCCGCCUGGGGAGUACGGCCGCAAGGCUAAAACUCAAAGGAAUUGACGG